ensembl:lncRNA
CCCUACUGUGGAAGUCAGAGCCUCUUUAACAGCCAUCAGUGUCCUUCUAGUCCCUUAAAAUUCUUCCAAAGCCCCUUUCUCAUCCACAAAGCCUUCACUGACCAUCUCUCUCUCUGCUGCCAGGGAAGCUGCUGGGACAGGCGAGGAUGCUCCAAAUGAAAAGAACAUCUCACCUCCGAUCUGUUCCCUGAGCGGAAAAGAAGGACUAACUUGACAUUAUAGAGCAGGAGUAUACCAUGGGAGGAAAGCGGUCACAUCGCUCCAGCUAUUACUGUCAUGUGGGAAUAUGUGUCCAGGACAUGUGAGCUUUCCACUCGCAAGAGAAGUCAGAAACUUGGAUUUUAAAUAAAUCUUCCUACUUUGAUUACUCAAUGGUGGAUUAUAUGACCACGAGCACCAAACAGCUCCAUGAGAGCCGCGAGUUGGCAAACUGAGAUGGACAGAAUAAAAUCUGACUGUCUGAGGACUUGAAUGACAAACUAAAAUUCUAUUUCCUCUGCUAGAUGAUGAAAACAAGAUUCUGGAGCAAAGAAGGGGUCUGAAUGAAAGCGUGCUUCAGGGAUAUUCCCAUGGUUUUUUCGGUAAACCUUGGGAUGGAAUGGAGAAGGGGCCUCAGUCAGGAGCUCACAGGUGGUUGCUCCAAUUGUGCACAGAGAACAGAAAAGAAAGGAGAAGAGGAAAGGUAUGAAAGAUGCUGGGAGGCACCUGGGAGAUAGCUGGGAGAUGUGACUGGCCCUGGAAGGAG